GCAUAUCAAUAAGCGGAGGAAAAGAAACUAACAAGGAUUCCCCUAGUAACUGCGAGUGAAGCGGGAAAAGCUCAAAUUUAAAAUCUGGCGGCUUUGGUCGUCCGAGUUGUAUUCUAGAGAAGUGUUUUCCGCGUUGGACCGUGUAUAAGUCUCUUGGAACAGAGCGUCAUAGAGGGUGAGAAUCCCGUCUUUGACACGGACUACCAAUGCUUUGUGAUGCGCUCUCAAAGAGUCGAGUUGUUUGGGAAUGCAGCUCAAAAUGGGUGGUAAAUUCCAUCUAAAGCUAAAUAUUGGCGAGAGACCGAUAGCGAACAAGUACCGUGAGGGAAAGAUGAAAAGCACUUUGGAAAGAGAGUUAAACAGUACGUGAAAUUGCUGAAAGGGAAACGCUUGAAGUCAGUCGCGUUAGCUAGAACUCAACCAGGCUUGCUUGGCGUACUUUCUAGUUAACGGGCCAGCAUCAGUUUUGACCACAGGAUAAAGACCAGGGAAAUGUGGCACCUUCGGGUGUGUUAUAGUCUCUGGCCACAUACUGUGAUUGGGACUGAGGAUCGCAGCACGCGCAAGUUGUGCUUAGGAUGCUGGCGUAAUGGCUUUAAACGACCCGUCUUGAAACACGGACCAAGGAGUCUAACAAACCUGCGAGUAUUUGGGUGGUAAGCCCGAGUGCGUAAUGAAAGUGAAAGUUGGGAUCCCUGUCGUGGGGAGCACCGACGCCCGGACCAGACCUUCUGUGACGGCUCUGCGGUAGAGCAUGUUUGUUGGGACCCGAAAGAUGGUGAACUAUGCCUGAAUAGGGUGAAGCCAGAGGAAACUACUGGUGGAGGCUCGUAGCGAUUCUGACGUGCAAAUCGAUCGUCAAAUUUGGGUAUAGGGGCGAAAGACUAAUCGAACCAUCUAGUAGCUGGUUCCUGCCGAAG
rnacentral:rRNA from 1 species